UGAAAAGAAAGAACAAGUAAGAUAAAAAAAAAGAAAUAAGUAUUGUCAACUUACCCCAAGAACUGUCAGGUAAAAAGAAGAAAAAAUCUUGACACUAUUCGAUCUUUCUUAUUCUCCCUGUCAGUCGGGAGAAGAGCUGCCUCGAUGAGUCAUUUGGCUAAUGUCGGAUUGGUCAAAGCCUACUUAUCGAUCGAAAUUUGGAUGUCGAAGAGGGUGGGGAGAUCCAUCGACGAUCCAUUGUCGGCAGAAGUAGCCGACGUCUUUCUCCACUCUCCAGUCGGCGGUCGUUUACUUGAAACCGCCAUAAAGUUGGUGCUCGAUUGCGCUCGAGACUGCGCCACUUGAGGA
rnacentral:lncRNA from 1 species